rnacentral:lncRNA from 1 species
CUCGCUAGUAAUAAUAACUCGUUUGCCAAAACCACCGACCCAAAAUGCUUAAGUCCAAUUAUUAUUACUAGGGUGGAGUUCUCUUAUAUACCCAAUGACAAUUCCAUUCUCAUCCGAUGUGCAACUAUUAGGGUGUCACAGACUCCCCCCGUCUAGGCCCGGACGUGCUCGUCAGCUCUAAACACACACAAAACCCAAGAUCACUAAGCGAUAUGAGACUUGUCUCGCUAGCCUUUGUCAUUUCGACCAUGACUUAGCCUGUCAAUCGCCAAUCCUAACUUAAUCUGUCAUUCAGACCUUGCUCAACCAAGACUAAUUGUAACGAUCCAGCCCACUAGCAACAAUAACUCGUUGGGCCCAACAACCGGCCCAAAAUGCUUAAGCCCAGUUAUUAUUACUAGUGUCUAAAUCUCUUAUAAACCCAAUGACAACCCCUUUCCCAUCCAAUGUGGGACUAUUGGGGUGUCACAGACUCCCCCCGAUAAGGCCCUGACGUCCUCGUCAGUCCAAUCACACACACAGCCCAAGAUCACCAGACGAUAUGAGACUCGUCUCGCUAACCCGUCAUCCAGACCCUGGCUCAGCCGAGACUCGCCACACAUGUCCAGCUGGUGAACCGGCUCUGAUACCAAAUGUAACGACCAAGCCCACUAGCAACAAUAACUCGUUGGGCCCAACAACCGGCCCAAAAUGCUUAAGCCCAGUUAUUAUUACUAGUGUAUAAAUCUCUUAUAAAUCCAAUGACAACCCCUUUCCCAUCCGAUGUGGGACUAUUGGGGUGUCACACUAAUCUCAACUUCCGGCUGGUGAACUGGCUCUGAUACCAAAUGUAACGACCCGACCCGCUAGCAAUAAUAACUCGUCGGGCUAAAACCACCGGUCUAAAAUGCUUAAGCCCAGUUAUUAUUACUAAAGUGAAGUUCUUUUGUAUAUCCAAUAAUAACC